AACUACACAAAAUCGUGUGGGUGAGAUCCUGCGUUCAGGUUCGAGCCGAGCGAAGCGAGACAGCAACGCGCAAGCGUUGACCCGAAGGGCGAGUCAUCCCGCACGACCCACCA
rnacentral:sRNA from 1 species